UAGGCUGUGGGUCAGCAAGCAGCCAUUUUUAAUAUCCGUCUUAUUUAUUUAUAUAUUGAUUCAUUUAUCUUCAGAAUGGGAUGAGUUUUACUUGUAGAUGAGCGGAAAAGUCAAGAGUUGCGGGUCUUAUCUGUACACUGCAUGUUUUAGCAUGCAUCAAGAGCAGAUUACUGGUCUGCUGUGCAGCUUCAGUGCUGGCAGGUAGACCGUGUUGGUUGGCCAGUAUAUUCAGAUGCAGAUGUCCCAGGAAGGCAGAAAACAAACUCCAUGACCUUGGCUAAGACUCCGAAGUUGAUGGUUUUUCUCUCCAGCUCACAAAAAAUGUCUGUCCAUCUCUCAGACAUGGCCGUCUUGUUCAUGUUCCACUCAGUGAUGCGACGA